GAGAAGUGAAAAAUAAUGUUAUCACCUUAUUCAAAGGGUUGAAAGAGUCUUGUUUGGAGUCGUGUGGGAUUGAAUAAUUAUGUUUGUAAUAUUUCAGAAGUAGGCAGAAAAAUAAAAAAAAUAAAAAAAUAAAAAAUAAAAAAAAAGAAUGAAAAAAUAGAAGGAUAAGAGGAAGAAAAAAAGGAGUUAUGUUUGUAAUAUUUCAAUACAUGUCAAUACAUACUCCUUAAAAAAAAUGAAUAAAAAGAGGAAGGAGAAGAGAAAACAAUUGCUAUAGAGUUGUUGAAGUGAAUGAAAUAUUUUGUAAAUUCAACUCCCG
rnacentral:lncRNA from 1 species